GUGAGGAAUUUUCCGCAAUGGGCGAAAGCCUGACGGAGCAAUGCCGCGUGAAGGAUGAAAGCCUAUGGGUUGUAAACUUCUUUUCUCAGAAAAGAAUUAUGACGGUAUCUGAGGAAUAAGCAUCGGCUAACUCUGUGCCAGCAGCCGCGGUAAGACAGAGGAUGCAAGCGUUAUCCGGAAUGAUUGGGCGUAAAGCGUCUGUAGGUUGUUUAAAAAGUAUUCUGUCAAAGAUUAGGGCUUAACCUUAGAUAGGCAGAAUAAACUUUUAAGCUAGAGUUUGGUAGAAGCAGAAGGAAUUCCCGGUGGAGCGGUGAAAUGCGUAGAUAUCGGGAGGAACACCAAAUGCGAAGGCACUCUGCUGGGCCAAUACUAACACUGAGAGACGAAAGCGAGGGGAGCAAAUGGGAUUAGAAACCCUAGUAGUCC
rnacentral:rRNA from 1 species